rnacentral:lncRNA from 1 species
GAAAAUAUUCAUACCUUUCAUUUUUUGACAUUUUGCCCUCAUUUCAACCUUUCUUUGCGCUGAACGUCAUUUUCACCAAUUUUUAACUUAAAAUGACCCAAAUACCCUUCUAUUUAUACAAAACAAAAAAAGAAAAGAAAAUUGCACUUAUAUGCCCAAAUUUUUAAAAACUAUAAAUGAGUCCAAUCAUUUUCACUGACGAUACAAUCAUUUUCACUGCACUGCCUAUCGCCGGCAAGAAAUAGGUAAAACAAUCUGUCUCGCCGUCUCUCUCUUCACAGUCUACUGCUUUAUAUAUAU